rnacentral:lncRNA from 1 species
CAGAGCAACCCUCUCCGCACGGCCGCCGUUGUUCCGGGGAAGGCAGCUGUCCCACCCACCAGCCCGUCCCGCCCGGGAAGCCAAGUCCCCGGACUCUCCCUGAGGACUGGCCUCAAGCUCGCCACAGUCCCGCUUACUUGUCAGCGGAAACCAGCUCCGCGGCGAUGGCAGCAGCGGCUGUAGACUCUGUGGCCAUCGUUCCCCUGAGGUGGUGGGCCAGUGGGCAGAACACUGCCUGCGAAGAAAACCAGAGAAUUCCGGACAGCAGAGACUCACUCAGGCUUAACGGAUGGAAACGCAAGAGCUGAGCACGAGUACAGCAGCAACGGCUAGAACUGACCAGACAGACGCGUGGCUCUGGGCCUCAGCAACUACUGACGAAACAAGAUGCUGCUCUAGGAUUGGCUACAGAUAAAACUAUCGCGCUUGAUUCAAAACUCUUAGAGGGGCAAAGGGAUGCGGGUGUUUAGAUCCACCGCCUUUGACUGAUCCAAUCCGUUGCUGCCAUCAUCUUACUUUACCCACGUCCAAGUUGUUAAGUUAAAUCCUGUACUUAAAACACUUUAAAUAUUUUAAAGGCCACUCAUGAAGAUCAAGGUAUCCCAGUAACUUCUCAAGUUCUGAACUAUGCUCCUAACUCCAAAAUGUGCACUUGGGAAAGGCCAAGGUCUCAAUAAGCCCGCUGUGCAGGAGAUGUGACCACAGUAUGCUGAGGUGAAAUUGAAAACCAGAGGAGUGGGACAAAAGGCAGGAAGAACAAAGAUCUGUAGAGAACUUCUGGGAAGGGGAUGGAAGGGCCACAGCAGAAGACAGACUUCCAACAGGACAGAAAGUAAUCCUCUGCAAGUCUGCUUUAAGCAACAGCUUUCCUGUAUAGCUAGCAAAGUUGCGAACAAGACACAAAGAACAUGAUACUUACAGAAGGGUGUACUGACUUGGAGGACCUCCCUCCCCUCUGCCUCCCACCAACCUCUGGACUUUCUUCUCAGUCCUCUUUUCUUUCCUUUGGUCAAGUUUGUGUUUUCAGUAACCAUC